rnacentral:rRNA from 1 species
CCCGAAAGAUCGAAUGGGGAGAUUCAACGUCAGCGGGAUCUGUUUCCUUGUGGUUUGCGAUGUUUGACGCGGAUAAUUAAGUAUUCGUAGAUUACACGCGGCCAUUUGGUUUCGAUUACGUCGGCGUGCACUUCUCCUCUAGUAGAACGUCGCGACCCGCUGGGUGUCGGUUUAAGGGCCAUGGUUGUAGACUGUUUCGUCGCUUCGGCGUAUGUUAACAGACGCUUUGGACUCCCGACCGGCUGCUCGGCGGUAUGCUUAUGGUAUCGAGCCGCACUUUGAAUGCGUUCAGACUCGUUGCAAGCCCAAUCAUCUUUUCCUGGAGGUGCGGACCUGGUGCCGUCCCUGGGGGUGGUUAGCUGUUGGCGUACGAUGUUCUCGAACUGGCUUAACUUUGAAUAACGAUACCGGUCGGCGACGCUUUUGCUUUGGGUACUUUCAGGACCCGUCUUGAAACACGGACCAAGGAGUCUAACAUGUGCGCAAGUCAUUGGGAUAAUAAAACCUAAAGGCGUAUUGAAAGAGAAGAUCGGCCUUGCGUCGAUUGAGGGAAGAUGGGUAACGUUUAGAUGUUGCCCCGCAUUCCCGGGGCGUCUCGUUGUCAUUGCGACUUGAGGCGCACCCAGAGCGUACACGUUGGGGACCCGAAAGAUGGUGAACUAUGCCUGGUCAGGACGAAAUCAGGGGAAACCCUGAUGGAGGUCCGUAGCGAUUCUGACGUGCAAAUCGAUCGUCGGAACUGGGU